UACGUAGGGGGCAAGCGUUGUCCGGAAUCAUUGGGCGUAAAGCGCGUGUAGGCGGCUCGGUAAGUCUGCUGUGAAAGUCCAGGGCUCAACCCUGGGAUGCCGGUGGAUACUGUCGAGCUCGAGUCCGGAAGAGGCGAGUGGAAUUCCUGGUGUAGCGGUGAAAUGCGCAGAUAUCAGGAGGAACACCGGUGGCGAAGGCGGGUCUCUGGGACGUUACUGACGCUGAGACGCGAAAGCGUGGGGAGCAAACAGG
rnacentral:rRNA from 1 species